rnacentral:ncRNA from 1 species
GGUGUUGUGUAACCGCAAGGUAAUUAAUCUAAGAUCCUCAUGGCUGUGAUCCUCACAUUGUGUAACCGCAAGGUAAUUAAUCCAAGGUCCUCAUGGCUGUGAUCCUCACACGUUCUUAGUUGGUGGAGUGAUUUGUCUGGUUAAUUCCGAUAACGAACGAGACCUUGACCUGCUAAAUAGUCAAGCCAACACUGUUGGUUCGAAUUGACUUCUUAGAGGGACUGUAGACUAAAGUCUACGGAAGUUUGAGGCAAUAACAGGUCUGUGAUGCCCUUAGAUGUUCUGGGCCGCACGCGCGCUACACUGACAUGGGCAACGAGUUUUGACCUUUGCCGAAAGGUAUGGGUAAUCUUUUGAAACCAUGUCGUGCUGGGGAUUGUCCUUUGUAAUUAUUGGACAUGAACGAGGAAUUCCUAGUAAGCGCGAGUCAUCAGCUCGCGUUGAUUACGUCCCUGCCCUUUGUACACACCGCCCGUCGCUACUACCGAUUGAAUGGCUUAGUGAGACCUUUGGAUUUUGGAAUUUUAAAACUGGUGACGGUUUUUUAAUUUAAAAGAAGCUGGUCAAACUUGGUCAUUUAGAGGAAGUAAAAGUCGUAACAAGGUAACCGUAGAUGAACCUGCGGUUG